rnacentral:rRNA from 1 species
CAGCAGCCACGGUAAUACCGAGGGUGCAAGCGUUAAUCGGAAUUACUGGGCGUAAAGCGCGCGUAGGUGGUUUGUUAAGUUGGAUGUGAAAGCCCCGGGCUCAACCUGGGAACUGCAUCCAAAACUGGCAAGCUAGAGUACGGUAGAGGGUGGUGGAAUUUCCUGUGUAGCGGUGAAAUGCGUAGAUAUAGGAAGGAACACCAGUGGCGAAGGCGACCACCUGGACUGAUACUGACACUGAGGUGCGAAAGCGUGGGGAGCAAACAGGAUUAGAGACCCCAGUAGUCCCUGUCUCUUAUAA